UACAGAGGGGGCAAGCGUUAUUCGGAAUUAUUGGGCGUAAAGCGUGCGCAGGCGGCUCCUUAAGUCAGAUGUGAAAGCCCCGGGCUUAACCUGGGAACUGCGUUUGAAACUGGGGAGCUAGAGUGUAGAAGAGGGGGGUGGAAUUCCAGGUGUAGCAGUGAAAUGCGUAGAGAUCUGGAGGAACACCGAUGGCGAAGGCAGCCCCCUGGGCUAACACUGACGCUCAUGCACGAAAGCGUGGGGAGCAAACAGG
rnacentral:rRNA from 1 species